AUUGGUUGACUUGUGAUGAAUUGGUUGAUGUUUGAGUUGUUUGGGCCGGGGGCCGUGUUGGAUUGGAUGGGCUUGAGGCCGUGAUUGGUAUAUUGAGUCCUAGUUCUGUAUAAAGUAUCUUUCCUGACGAGUGUUGCAUCAUUUUGAACUAAUGGAAAGCUUGUUUGUUGUCCCAUGCUUCAUGGAUCUUGUUUGAACUCCAUUGACUUGAGAUCCUUUCUUGUUUGGUCUAAUUCCCUUUUAAGUACAUCUUAAUACUCUUGAAUAUUCUUAUGUGAUGGCAACUUCAAGUGUAUUCUUAGAGUUUUGAUGUGAACUUUUGAAGCAAGUUUUGGAUUCUCUUAAGAAACUUAAAUCAAUUCUUCUCGCUUAAAAAUUGCAUCCAUAGCUAUCCUUUAAAUUGGAAAAGUUAUUUUGGAGUUGACAUGCAUUAUUUUAAAUAAAGUUUUGAAACCGACUGAUAAGUAAAUUUUUACCUCAGGGUUUCCUUUUCUAAAUAGAGUUUAACUUGUUCCAUAUUUGCUAUAAAAUUUUAUACACACUUGUUUGAAUUUAGAGUUUGAGAGUUCUUGAACAAACGUUUGAUUUUCUUACAACCCUGCCACAAUAUCAGUGUAUACUUUUAGCUGAUUGAGUACCUAAAUGUCUUUCAGGAUUUUCGAAAGAUUGUUUUGGCCUUAACCCAAUUGACUUUCAAUUUUCAACCCUCACCUAUUCUAUCUUUUACUUGGAAACUAUUUGGACAAAACGCAAUUUAGUUUUCUUUUAACCAUAUUGCAGUUUUGAUAUAUGUUUAUGUUACCCUUUUGUGAACUGCGAGUUACAUACUUUUCUUUUAGCACAGGAGGUGAUCUUCUUUCAGUUUUUCAUUCUUUAUAUUAAAAUGUAUUAUGUGAACUUGAUCAAAAAUUUUAAAUCUUGAGAGUGUCAUCACUAGCUUUAGUUGACCUUCUUCUAUGAUUUUAUACUUGUUAACUCAGCUUGAUUUAGUUCCAAAUUACUGUCUUGCUUAUCCUUUUGUGUUCCUAUCAGUUGUCUCUGAUUCAGGAGUCAUCUUUGAGGUUGUUAAACUGAAUUUCUUUCCAAUACUCUUCAUCGAUUGUACAUCCUUGUUUACUUGUAGAUUCAGCAGUUCUUUCAGAACUCUUGCGGAGAUUAUCCUUGUUGUUUGUCCUUCUUUUUUCAAAGUCUUUUAUCUUUCUGGUAAACUCGAGAAUUGUUUGAUGUCACGUGCGAUCUUUAGGUAUAGUAAUGCGAUGCGUUAGUUCCUUAAAGCCUGUUUGUGGAUCCGGAAGGUGAAGCGGCAAGUGUGCAACGUUAUGAGACAUUGUGAGAGUUUCGUUCCUUGCAGACAAGUUUGAAGAUGUUAUGCUUGCGAAUGGUUAUGGAGUUGUGAAGUGGUUGAUGGAGUUAGGAAGUUGAAGCUUAGAGACGGGUACGAGAUACAUGAGUGAAAGCUAUAUCUGUUGUUAGAUACCAACCUGCUUUGUAGCCUUUUUGCCAUGAAAACUAUAUCCUUACUUUGUGACCGCCUAUCUUGACUUGCACCUAUUUGGUUCCUCCAAGCUUUUGUAGAAUUUUGAAACCAUAUAAACUUUUUGCAUUGAGCCUACCUUGUAUCUUUCACCUAACACUAUACCUUACCCUUAUGUUUAAAUCUUAUGGUUAUUCGGUAUUUGAAAUUUUAUAUGUGUUAUGAUUUCUUACCUUCUUAAAAAGUAUUUAAAAAGUAGAGUGCUCAGCCUAUGUAUUAUCUUAUGUAAUACUUCAAUUUUCGAGGACGAAAAUUUUUAUAAGGUGGGUGGAAUGUAAGACCCAAGACUUUUGAAAAGUCCUAUUUUGAACUAAUCUCAAACCAUAUAUUUAUUUACAGUUUUAUUUUUAAGAAAUUAUUUUAUUGAAAAUAAUUUGUAAAAUUGAUGCACAAAUAGUAUUUUUAUAUAUUAUCAUUGUUGGGUUAAAAUUCAUUUCUAAUUACUGUAUUAUCCCUACUUUUAUUUGGAAUUACUAAAAUGCCCAUAACCCUAAUUUUUGAAAAUGAAACCUUAACCCUGAAACCCUAACCCAAUAACCCGAUUCCCUUUCAGCCACAUCCAAACCCUCUCUUGCUCUCAGCAAGCACGCAAACACACCUAGCUCCUUCAAUUUGAAAGAAAAAAGGAAAUGAAAAUAAAAAGAAGGGGAAACGAGGAGAGGGGCUGCAAUCGGAAGAAGGGAAGGGAGGAGAAAAUGUCGCCGCCGUUCAGCCUGUCCCUGCCGCCGUCGUGCUGCCACCGAACCGCCGAAGUGCCAUCACCGUUCUCUCGUCAUCGCCGUGAUUGACAGAAGAAAGAGUGAGAUCCGAGAGAGCUGUGAAGGAAGGGCGUCGUCGGAGGUGAAGCCUGGCACCACCGCCGCCACUGUUCGUCACACCGUCACCACUAGCCGCGCCGUCACCAGUCGCGAGAGAGAGAGAUCGGGCAAAGAGAGAGAGGUGUUGUGAGGGAGAAGAGGCGCCGCUGCUGCUGCUGCCUUGCCGUCACCGCUACCUGGGUCCUGUGGUCCAAGCCACCAUUGAUGGAGCUACGUUUCUGCUUCUCUGGUCCGCCGCCACGGCUGGAGGUCCGCCCGACCUGAUCGGAGGGAAAGGAAAGGUUCAGGCCGUCGCUACUACUUGCGUGGUGAGCUGCUGCACCAGCCACCGCCGCAGGAAUCGCUGCUGGAGAAGGGAGCUGCGCUUUUAUGUUUCUGGUCACCGGAAAAACCUCGCCGCCAUCACCGGAAAAUCCUGUCAGUAAGGGUUUAAGUUGAUCUUCGUUUUCUUUGGGUUUCUGGAAGCUUUAUUGUGGUUGUAUGAUUGGUUUCAGUUUUCAUUGCCGGAGUUCGGGUUGCCGCUGCUGCUUGAGGUGGCUACCGGGCUGCCGCCAAACCGGUUCAGAGACCGUCGCUGUAUCGGUUCAGUCGUUCCUUCUUCGUUCGGUAAGCAUCUUCGAUUUGAAAAGCCCUCUGGUUACUGUUCUGUUAUCAUACGCUGAGGUUUGUGACGUUAAUUGCUAUAAGAUUGAGUUUUGGUUGUUAUGUGUUGCGAUUAGAGUUGCUAUGGCUACUGCGAAAGUGACUUGGAGCCGAGAUUUUGGUUGUUGAUUUUGGGUUGAGGCGAAAAGGACUCUGUGACGCGUUUGGGUUAUGGUUAUGCGUUUUGAGGUAGGGGCUUUUGUACAAACUAGUUUUAUUUAAAUUAGAAAUUGUUAUAAAUAGAUAUGCUGUACAAAAUGUAUUUUAGGUAGUUAUGUGAGUCUUAUGAAUUGUCUGGUUUUAUCUUGAAUGAAUAUGGUUGCCUGUUUGAUUGUAACAAUGUAUGAUUUUGAUAAAUUGGAGAUUUCUGGAUUGGUUGAUUUGAAUGAUUUUUGAUAAUUUGAAAGUUGAAGUUUUGUUUUAUUGGAAACUGAUUUGGUCUUGAACCUGUUAGAAAGAGUUGAUGAUUGGUUUUGUUAGGACCCGAAAAGGGUGGCAAAGUCCAAGUUUUAGGAGAGAUGCUGCCGAAAUUUCUAGAAAAUCUGAGAUUUUGAUUGGAAUUGUUAUUUUGGAAAAGAAUAGAUUAUGCUUUGACUUAAAUGUUUAAGAAAUAAAUUAUGUUUGAACUUUCCUUAUUAGGAAAAUCUCUAUAUUUUUGAUGUAAUUAUUAAGAAACGAAUUAUGCCUUAAAAAUCAAUUUAAAUAUGAAAUUUUUUUAUGUUUUGGAAUUUGAUUUACAUAAACAGAUUUUGGAGGGGUUUUAAUGGAUUUAAAAUAAACCUAGUUUUCAAUUAAUCUAUUUCACUUUACGACAUUUAGGAAGAGCUUGAAGUAUUUUCUGGAACUUUAAUUUAUUAAAAUCGAAACACUUCCCGAGCCCUUGGAAACAGAUUUAAGAAUGAAACUGAAAUUGGUUUUGGCUUAAGUUUGGUUGGUCUUGAAAUUGGUUCGGCAUAAUUGGAAACACGAUUUGGUUUUGGGUUUAAACCCUAUUCUAUUUAUUCAACUCAAGAAGUUAAAGUUUUGGAGGUUUUCAAGGAAUUUAAGAAAUGAGUUAGGUUAUUCUCCCUUGAAGUCUUGGUACUCUGCUGAGGAACCAUACGACCUAAUUUAGAAAUGAAUGAUUGAGUCUUUCAAAGAGAUUUUGAACUUGGCAUGGUUUUGAGAUUUUUGGAAGUGUUGGAAAGAUGUGAAAAGUGGCUCCGUUUUGAAAAGUGAUUCUUGGCUAGCUGUGAUUUGACUACAUUUGUUAUUUAAAAGUAAAUGGGCCAAGAAUGAUUUUGAAAUAAGGUAUUGAGCCUGAUUGAUUGUGGAUAUCAUCAAGAUUGAUGAGUUAUUGUUUGGUAGGCGUAAGGGCCGGGUUCGUCCCGCUUAUGCUGAGAGAUUUGAUAAUUUGACGAGAUUGUUGAUAAGUCGCUUGUGCCUGGCAAGGACGGUGGUUAAUCCUGCUUGUCGAGGUUGUGGCGCCCGCGUAAGGACGGUGGUUAAUCCCGCUUACGUGUAGAUGUGAGGUCGGAGACAAAGUAUCCCGCUCACAUCCUUUCGGAUCACAAGAGUGUGCAGGCACUGACAUCCUGGACCGUGUGGCGGGCACGUUAUCCCAGAGGGUUCCCAUUUAUACGUGACCGAAGGGCAACAUUCCCGUGGGAAUGUAUCAGGUUGGCAAUUGAACCGACAAUGUGAUAUCACAGCCAGUAGGACAGGCAUUCAUCAUUUGCAUCUAUGUGAUAUUGUUUGGGUGUGCAUAUUGUAUUUGGUUUGCUUAUGUGAAUACUUAUGUUAACUGUUAUACUUGUUGUAAUUGCUCUUGAUUGUAUUUGAACUACAUUAUUUGUGAUUGUGUUUGAUUGGUUGUCAUGUGAUGAAUUGGUUGAUGUUUGAGUUGUUUGGGUCGGGGGCCGUGUUGGAUUGGAUGGGCUUGAGGCCGUGAUUGGUAUAUUGAGUCCUAGUUCUGUAUAAAGUAUCUGAUCGGUUCAACAUAGACUUAAUGAACCUAUGCUUGGAACGGGAUGAUCAUUUAUACCGCGUAGGUAACUGCUUUCAUGGUUGCAGUCUAGGAAAAACUUUUCAGACAUUUUCUUUAAGAAAGGAAAAAGGUUUUGUUUUAGAAUAUUUGAGAAACUUAGCAAGUCUUCAAAAAGGAAUUUUCUGGAUUUCGAAUGUGAACCUAUGGUUUUUGGAAAGACUCAUAAGACGAGCAAUGAUCACUGAACUCUAAGAAUGAUU
rnacentral:lncRNA from 1 species